AGCGAACGCUGGCGGCAGGCCUAAAACAUGCAAGUCGAACGGAUCCUUCGGGAUUAGUGGCGGACGGGUGAGUAACACGUGGGAACGUGCCUUUUGGUUCGGAACAACUCAGGGAAACUUGAGCUAAUACCGAAUGUGCCCUUCGGGGAAAGAUUUAUCGCCAUUAGAGCGGCCCGCGUCUGAUUAGCUUGUUGGUGAGGUAAAGGCUCACCAAGGCGACGAUCAGUAGCUGGUCUGAGAGGAUGAUCAGCCACACUGGGACUGAGACACGGCCCAGACUCCUACGGGAGGCAGCAGUUAGGAAUCUUGCGCAAUGGGGGAAACCCUGACGCAGCCAUGCCGCGUGAAUGAUGAAGGUCUUAGGAUUGUAAAAUUCUUUCAGCGGGGACGAUAAUGACGGUACCCGCAGAAGAAGCCCCCGGCUAACUUCGUGCCAGCAGCCGCGGU
rnacentral:rRNA from 1 species